rnacentral:rRNA from 1 species
UACGAAGGACCCAAGCGUUAUCCGGAUUUAUUGGGUUUAAAGGGUGCGUAGGCGGAUUGUUAAGUCAGUGGUGAAAGCUCCGAGCCCAACUCGGAAAUUGCCAUUGAUACUGAUGAUCUUGAGUACAUUUGAGGUGGGCGGAAUGUGUCAUGUAGCGGUGAAAUGCUUAGAGAUGACACAGAACACCGAUUGCGAAGGCAGCCCACUAAACUGUAACUGACGCUGAGGCACGAAAGCGUGGGGAGCAAACAGG